rnacentral:rRNA from 1 species
UACGUAGGGGGCGAGCGUUGUCCGGAUUUAUUGGGCGUAAAGAGCUCGUAGGCGGUUCGAUAAGUCGGACGUGAAAUCUCCACGCUCAACGUGGAGGGGCCGUUCGAUACUGUCGUGACUCGAGUCCGGUAGGGGAGUGUGGAAUUCCAGGUGUAGCGGUGAAAUGCGUAGAUAUCUGGAGGAACACCGGUGGCGAAGGCGGCAUCCUGGACCAACACUGACACUGAUGAGCGAAAGCCAGGGGAGCAAACGGG